rnacentral:rRNA from 1 species
UGGCAGACGGGUGAGUAAUACUUAAGCAAUUUGCCCUCAAAUGGGAGAUAACUCGGCGAAAGCCGGACUAAUACCCCAUAUAAUCCUCCGGAGGCAUCAUCGGGGGAUGAAAGGCCCGCAAGGGCCGUUUAAGGAGAAGCUUGAGGCCUAUCAGCUAGUUGGCGGUGUAACGGACCACCAAGGCAAUGACGGGUAGCCGAUCUAAAAGGAUGACCGGCCACAAGGGCACUGAGACACGGGCCCUACUCCUACGGGAGGCAGCAGUGGGGAAUUUUGGACAAUGGGCGAAAGCCUGAUCCAGCGACGCCGCGUGGAGGACGAAGGUUUUCGGAUCGUAAACUCCUUUUACAGGGGACGAAAGCCCGCAAGGGUUUGACAGUACUCUGUGAAUAAGCCACGGCUAACUACGUGCCAGCAGCCGCGGUAAUACGUAGGUGGCGAGCGUUACUCGGAUUUACUAGGCGUAAAGCGUGUGUAGGCGGGAGCUUAAGUUCGUUGUUAAAUUCCAGAGCUCAACUCUGGACUGUCGACGAAUACUGGGUUUCUUGAGUGAGGUAGGGGAAACUGGAAUUCCAGGUGUAGCGGUGAAAUGCGUAGAUUUCUGGAAGAACGCCAAAGGCGAAGGCAGGUUUCUAGGCCUUUACUGACGCUGAGACACGAAAGCUAGGGGAGCAAACAGGAUUAGAUACCCUGGUAGUCCUAGCCGUAAACGAUGUAGACCAGGUGUGGGGGGGUAUCGACCCCUCCCGCGCCGACGCUAACGCAUUAAGUCUACCGCCUGGGGAGUACGACCCGCAAGGUUAAAACUCAAAGGAAUUGACGGGGGCCCGCACAAGCGGUGGAUCAUGUGGUUUAAUUCG